GGUUGGACAGGCCUCCACCCAACCAGAGUACAUACCAAAACCAGCAGGUAACGAUAUCGUCCAGAUUUAGGCAUUACUGUGUAGUCUACUUGUAAGUCUGACAUGGGAAGUCCACUCAUAUACUGAACUCCAGGAGGCUUAACAUGGCCUUGUCUUGCGUUGUUUCGAGCGCACUGUACACAUCUUCUGACAAUAGCUUGGGUAAGAUUAUAUAGUACUGGUAUAUAGAAAUAUUUGCUGAGAGAUUCUUCCAUACUAUCUCUUCCCGAAUGUGUACCACUAUGGAAGUUCUGAACAAUUUCUAUAGCCAAAGAUGCAGGAAUAACUAUUCUUCCAUCUUCUAACUGAUGCCAAUUAUUCUCUCAAAAACUUACCAGGUUCAGUUUUCAGACACUCCUUCUCUUGAGUGUUAUACACUGGAGUCCAUUGAGACAAUGGGGCUGGUAUAAGAGCAGUAAC